rnacentral:rRNA from 1 species
AUUAUGUCGGAUAUUCCAUCUAAAGCUAAAUAUAUGCGGGAAACCAAUUGCGGACAAGUAUUUU